CCACAUCUUUAUCCGUCUGUACAGAGAACAGCGCAAACGGUCAGAUCUCUGGGAGAGUUAAAGGAGUUCCUGAUUGUUUUAGCUCGUUACCUCCUUCAGGCAGGGAGUCAUUGAAGACUCCCUCCACAGAGACGCAGCUGCUCCCGUCACCCCCACAGUUCCGGCAGCGGUCCUCGCGUACGUCUGAGCCGAGGAUACGAUCGCAACCAACGUGCUGCAAAAAGGGAGAAACCAGUGAGCUGCAGGGUCACUCGGGGUCAUGGGUGAAGGGGCACAGUGUGUAAGUCGAGAGGUGUCAGAGACCGGGCUUAGGGAUUACCUACUAAUGUCUUCAAGGCCACUUUUUCAAAACACAGAAAUAUCAGAUGGUAUUAAGGUUUCCCCAACAGAGAGCAAGGAAGACCAGAGUAGUGUAAUUGAAGAUUUCACUGAUGUACUUCCACAGGAUAAAACCUCCAAGUCUGUCAUCUCACAUAAGGAGACAAGUGCAACAUCAAUAUUCUUUAACAAAUGAGGUGUGACAAAAUCCAAGGAGGUUGGUUGCUGAUCACACAAUGAGCCACAACUCUGGCACCGUUAAACAGUCUUGGAAGCAAGUAAAGACCAAGAAGAAAAACAUAAUUCAAACCAGUCAGCUCUGUACCUGGGGCUGUCACAAUGUCUGACAGAAGAGGAGACUCCACCUCCACAGGUCCUGCUACACUCCUCCCAGGGAGACCACAGACCCCAGCCGCCAUCCACCCCCUCAGGACGAGUCCCGUACGCAACAC